rfam:Salmo salar isolate Sally breed double haploid chromosome ssa15, whole genome shotgun sequence.
GUCUGUGUGGCUCAGUUGGUAGCGCAUGGUGCUUGCAAAGCCAGGGUUGUGGGUUCGAUUCCCACGGGGGACC